ACGGUCCGUACCCUGGCUGGAGGAGGAGGAGGAGGACAUCCCGCCGCCACAGAGCUGCUACAGCUGUCCUCCCCACAAGACAAUGAGGAUCUGCUGACAAAAUGAGGAACCAAUGAUGUCCAAGCGUCAACUCUGCAGAGAAGAUGGAAGAAGUUCUAGCGUCUGGACCAGAGGAAGAAAAAAAGAAAAGACAGCAGAGAAGACGUCUCCUAUACCUGAAUGCGGAGGACUACAUCAGAUUCGGUGGACUGCGACGAUGAUCAGCAUUUUUCUUUAUUUCAAUAAAAUGGUUAACGAGGGCUGUGGGGGAGUGUUGUUUUUAAAUAAAAAAUGUUUUCAAUGUGAC